CCUACGGGUGGCAGCAGUGAGGAAUAUUGGUCAAUGGACGAGAGUCUGAACCAGCCAAGUAGCGUGAAGGAUGACUGCCCUAUGGGUUGUAAACUUCUUUUAUAAAGGAAUAAAACGAGGCACGUGUGCCUUUUUGCAUGUACUUUAUGAAUAAGGAUCGGCUAACUCCGUGCCAGCAGCCGCGGUAAUACGGAGGAUCCGAGCGUUAUCCGGAUUUAUUGGGUUUAAAGGGAGCGUAGAUGGGUUGUUAAGUCAGUUGUGAAAGUUUGCGGCUCAACCGUAAAAUUGCAAUUGAUACUGGCAGUCGUGAGUACAGUUGAGGUAGGCGGAAUUCGUGGUGUAGCGGUGAAAUGCUUAGAUAUCACGAAGAACCCCGAUUGCGAAGGCAGCUUACUAAACUGUGACUGACAUUGAUGCUCGAAAGUGUGGGUAUCAAACAGGAUUAGAUACCUCAGUAGUC
rnacentral:rRNA from 1 species